UAACACGUAGGGGCAAGCGUUGUUCGGAAUUACUGGGCGUAAAGGGCAUGUAGGCGGCUUUGUAAGCUUGGCGUGAAAUUCCACGGCUUAACCGUGGGAAUGCGUUGAGAACUGCGAGGCUUGAGUUAUGGAGAGGGAGCUAGAAUUCCUGGUGUAGGGGUGGAAUCUGUAGAGAUCAGGAAGAAUACCAAUGGCGAAGGCAAGCUCCUGGCCAAUGACUGACGCUGAGGUGCGAAAGUGUGGGGAUCAAACAGGAUUAGAUACCCUGGUAGUCCACACUGUAAACGAUGUACACUAGGUGCUGGGGCGGAUGCUUCAGUGCCGUAGCUAACGUGAUAAGUGUACCGCCUGGGGAGUAUGCUCGCAAGGGUGAAACUCAAAGGAAUUGACGGGGGCCCGCACAAGCGGUGGAGCAUGUGGUUUAAUUCGAUGGUACGCGAGGAACCUUACCUGGGUUUGACAUACAGUGUGAUAGGUCAGAGAUGAUCUAGC
rnacentral:rRNA from 1 species